GACCCGCUUCAUCAUGUACAAUUCCGGAAAUAAGAGUGGAUUCCUUGAUUCUAAUAAGAUGUUUGACCCGUUUGAGAUUCCACGUCACUUAUUCCAAACGGCGGCGUUUUUUCCUAACCUAAUCAACGUCACUCAACCACGCGCCCAUGCAUAAUGUCACCUUCACUGAUCUCGCCAGGGGCGACAACACCACCGGUUACAUCAUGAACUCACUGUUUCAACACGAUUCAAAACUCACAUGUCACUAACGGAAAUUUUAAGGCGGAUUGUUGUUAUCAAACGACGGAUGAUGCUGAUGACGAGUAACACGACGACAAAUGCAAUCUUCAAACAAAAAAAUAAUAAAAUAUUACUAAUUUAAAAUCACUCUUCAUUAAUUAACAUUCAAAACCAGUUUUUCAUCAUCAAAACUUCAAAAACUUUAAACCACCUAAACAUAUCACAUUCUACUUCCUGAACAGAGGCGAGGUAUAGAAGGGGCGGGAGGAGGCGUUCGACCCCCAAACUUUUCGCUCGAUAGUGUUAUAUAUGUAGUUUUCAUAUAAAUUUUUUGGGUAUAUACGUUUUCGACCCCCCCCCGGUCAUUUGGGUCAAGCUUCCCUACUACUCCUGUAAACGUUAUUCAUGGUUAUUGAGUAACAAGCGAGUGACUGACGCAUGUCGUUCAUUUACCCCUCAACGUCUACCCUUAAAGCUUGCACAACCAACCUCAAAGCUUCAACAGCGGCAGUAAUCUUUGCUUGUACGUUGUUAUCUCGGCUCUUGAAGCUUGCAGUUUUGUUCAUUGAUGUUGUGGAAGCCAUUCUCUAUGGCUUCCAACAACACCCCAUUGUCGGGAUGAGGGGGUGGUGGUUGGUGGUAAUUAGAUGUUGGGAGUUUGUUAGGUUAUUGGAUGUUGUUGUCUAGGUGACGUCCGCUUAGAUGCUUGUAAUUCUCAUGCACACGUAAACAUUGUAAUUGCAAUCUUUAUAAAAGCAUGAUGAUGAAAGCAUUCUUCUCAUUGUUAUGAGAAAAAAGUUUAUUAUUCU